UUUCAUCAGAUUUUAUGAAAAAAUAAGUAUUAUUAUAUUUUUGUUACAGAAUGACAUGAUUAUAUGAUUUUGAUGCUUACCACAGACCUCUCGCCGAUGAAACUAAAUAGAAGAAGUGUUGCUUUCGUUCUCACAAUAGUCUUGAUGGCUUUGGCCAUCUCUGUUGCUGCUGCUGCAGCCGAUAAAGAAGGUGUGCAGCGACGUCCGAUGGUGGUUCCGGUGACGUGCAAGUACUAUCCCGAAGUGUGCCUGCCCGACGAAACCUGCUGCAACUUUAGAAAGUGCGCCAACUUGAAGAAAGACCCCGACAACUGUGGUCGUUGCAAUCACCGGUGCCCAGGCGCCUGCUGCGACGGCGUCUGCAAGGCAAGUUGCUGAUGAGUGUUGUCGUCUUCGUCGUGCAACUUAGAUGCAUGCAAACAUGUCUUCGCUUCUUUGUCCCAUGAGUUACACUUCGUCUCAUCGUCUGGUGGUUAAGAAUAAUUGUUGCUUCUUUGUUGCACAAAGGUGUGUUUUCGCAAUCCAUGUUGUUUAUAGAGGACAUGAUUGGAAGAAAGAUGACUGCAGUUCAUAGAGAGGCAGCAGUGACCCUCGCCAUCCUUGCCCGCGAUCCUCGCACGAGGAAAGAGGGGGCAUGAGGGCUGUCGCUGUCGUCUCCAUUGCUUCAUUCUUUGUCCCGCGAGAGCGACUCCAACGAGGAUCGAUGGUGCCUGUGAAGGUGACGUUAGAUUCGACAUGACAGAGGGGAAGAGAGGCGGAGAUAGAAUUGGACGGAAUUCACACACGCAAACAUAUAUAUAUCACCGUAUUUAUAUUUUAUAACGAGUAUAAUCCCUCCGCUUUAAGAAAUCCCUUCUCAUACGUAACACCGCACGCCCCCGUCACGUGAUCUGGCGCUAUCACCACGGGUGCCCUUGCCGGAACCGGUCGCUCUAGGGUUUGGUUGAUGGCCCUCGAGGACGGUAGCGGGUUGACGGUGACGGGAGAAGGUUUUGGAGUCUCGGCACAGACGGUGGCGCCCAUUGGUGCCCACCCGCCCGAGGCUGCUGAUGGGUUUCCAAUGAGUCUCUCCGAGCACUAGACAGAUACUCACAAAGGCGAGCAGGAUCAGACGACUUCAUUCUCCGACGAAGCUAGUCGCAUGCUGGGUCGGCACAGAUGGAGAGGUUCCUUGUCAUGCAAGGAGCACCGAAACCUGUGCAAACUCCCAAGAAGUCCCGGCCCGACCUGCUGUGGGAAGCUUUGCGUGGACCUGAAGACUGACUCGUUCAAUUGUGGCCGCUGCGGGGUGCAGUGCAAGUUUGCCGAGGUUUGCUGCAAAGGUAAAUGCCUGAAUCCGUUUCACGACGAUGAGAACUGCGGCGGGUGUGGCAAGAAGUGCAGCAAGGGAAGCCAUUGCAGAUAUGGGAUGUGCAGCUAUGCGUAGAAUCCGGCUGAUGAGUGUUGGGUUUGAUCAUUGAACUGUGUUGUUGCUGUUGCUUGUGGCUGAAGCCCUGGUUUAAUAAUGUUCACCACGUCCUUAGUUGUAUUCAUUGCGAAGAUAAAUAUCAAGGAACAUCUGCAUUGUUGUGUC